CACGUAGGGCGCAAGCGUUGUCCGGAAUUAUUGGGCGUAAAGAGCUCGUAGGUGGUUUGUUACGUCUGCUGUGAAAACCUAGGGCUUAACCCUGGGCUUGCAGUGGAUACGGGCAGACUAGAGGUAUGCAGGGGAGAACGGAAUUCCUGGUGUAGCGGUGAAAUGCGCAGAUAUCAGGAGGAACACCGGUGGCGAAGGCGGUUCUCUGGGCAUUACCUGACGCUGAGGAGCGAAAGUGUGGGGAGCGAACAGG
rnacentral:rRNA from 1 species